UGUGGGGCCAUUCAAGCUAAAAGUAUUGUGCCUGCAUUUUUAAUGGUCUCCAACAUGGUGGCACUAAGGCUAUCUUUAAGGCUGUCUUUCCUUGCCUCUUUAUAAGUUUGUGGGCAUCAGUCUCAUGAUGCAUUUGCUUGUGUGCUGUGUUUAAAACAAUACUUGAGUUUAUCCCUAUCCAGCAGAACUCGCUUAUGUAAGCGCCACAGAACCAUUGGAUCUGACGCAAUGCUGAAUGCAUAAGGUUUUGAUGUAAAAUAGUGGUCUGUAUCUAAAAUAAUGCGUUUAAGUUCCACUAGCUGGCUAAAGAAUGGGUUUAGUAAGCAAUUUCUAUUCUCUGUGUGUUAUCUGAAGUGUUGAAAGUUUGCAUGACUCAGAAAUUAUAAUAAUGUUAAAGGAUACAAAAUGAAAAGGGUUUGAGGGGUGUUUUUUCUUCAAAACUGACUUGGCUUCAAAGCAUGCUUUGCACGAGCACCACCACGAGUGUGAUCCUCUGAGGGACAAGCUGCUCACAUCUAUUCUCUUUGCCAGUGCCUGGGCAUGGAGCAUGGAGGGAUGCCCAGCCCAUGGCAGCAGUGCCCAGGGAGGAGCUCCCUGCAGCUCCAUGCUGCCAGCAUGGCGGGGCUGCUACGGAGUCCAGAGCGAGCUGGGAUGAGGGAUGAGCUUGCACCAACCACCGCAAAGGGACUAAUUAAGGUAGGUGCUUAUUCAUGAAGCUCAGCUCUCAUCUUCCAGCCUGUAAAAUCUGCAAAAUUGCUUCUUCUGGCGUUUUGUGAGAGGGAUCCUUAAAGCUGAGCAGACAGCUCUUACCUGCCCGCAGAGCAGAAAUGAGGUUCCUGCAUGAAGGACCUUCCACCCUGCAGUGCUGUGAGCAGGACCCUGCUAUGCCGCAGCCCUCUUGCUGCCCCUGGCCAUAUCCUGCACACCAGCACGGUGGCUGUGGGGAUGUCCUUCGCAGUCACAGCGACUUAGUGGGACUGAGUUGAUGAAGCGAGGACGGGGCUCGCUUGCCUAGCAGAGCUUGCAGAAAACAGUCUCCAAGUUCUAUAGUAAACAAAACAAAGAAGGCUGAAAUCAAUCCAAAGCUGGGAGAGAAGGAACUGCGGGAUGCUGUGCUGAGCACCACCUGGUAGCUGCCCUGCUGGAUGCAAUAAUAUCAGAGCAAAAAUCAAAGUCGCCCUCGCAGGAGCUGUGAGCAAUGAAGUGAGUGCAGCACUGGGAGGAUGCGCUCUGCUCGGAGCAAGAGGCAGGGAUGGGGGAGCUCUGUUGUUUUGAGCAGGUGGCAGUUGAAUCUGCUGGUGGAAUGUGAGUGUGCAGCUGGGGAUGGAAAUGACACCAAGAGCACAGCAGGUGUGAGCAGGGAUUAAAAGAAAGCACAGGAAGCCUCACAAUCUGCACACUGGGCCAGGCUGGCUGGUGUGGGGCUGUGAAUGCAGGCAGUGCCUGGAGGUGUUGGAGCUGUGUGGGGCUGCAGGAGGACCCCCAUCCACCCAGCGGAUCCCUCUCCACCCAGGGGACCCCCACCCCGCUGUCUGGAGGUAAUGCCAGAACAGCUUGUGCACUGGGGAAGCUAUUCUGAUAAAUGAGUGUAAGAUACAACAAUUUAUAUCCAUUUGCCUCACAGCAUUUCUGUGGGUUGAAAUCCCACGUCGAAACAGGGAAAUCAUAGUCUAGCUCUGAUCCUUUGACUGGUUUGAUAUCUGGACUGUAAAAUGCUAAAGAGGAUUAGAGAGGUGGUGCAGAUUUAAAGAAGUAAUAAAAGAUUUCAGUUAUUCA
rnacentral:lncRNA from 1 species